rnacentral:rRNA from 1 species
CGAGUCUGCCUUGAAGAUCGGAGUGCUUGCACUCUGUGAAACAAGAUACAGGCUAGCGGCGGACGGGUGAGUAACACGUGGGUAACCUGCCCAAGAGAUCGGGAUAACACCUGGAAACAGAUGCUAAUACCGGAUAACAACAGAUGAUGCCUAUCAACUGUUUAAAAGAUGGUUCUGCUAUCACUCUUGGAUGGACCUGCGGUGCAUUAGCUAGUUGGUAGGGUAACGGCCUACCAAGGCGAUGAUGCAUAGCCGAGUUGAGAGACUGAUCGGCCACAUUGGGACUGAGACACGGCCCAAACUCCUACGGGAGGCAGCAGUAGGGAAUCUUCCACAAUGGACGCAGGUCUGAUGGAGCAACGCCGCGUGAGUGAAGAAGGGUUUCGGCUCGUAAAGCUCUGUUGUUGGUGAA